UGCUACUUGACAGCCAGAUACUUUUCUGUGGCAAUGAAGUCUUUAAAUUUGGUUCUCACAUUUCCCAGUUUCAGCAAAUUCCAUUUCUGCCUGGGCGGCUUCUUUUCAGGGAGCAGAAGGAGGUGCCUCUCUCGCAAGCCAGGAAUUCAAGAGACUCACUUCCGACAGCUUUCUGUGCAAUCCUGACAUGCUUAAAUCUAUAUUUAAACCUGCCUUGAGAAACUUCAAGUGUGGCUGGAGAAAUUUUUCAGUGGUCAAAGCUCUUGACAUACAAGCUUGAGGACUGAAGUUGGGAUUCCAGAACCCACAUAAACUCUGGACACACGGGUGUGGUGUAUACCUAUAAUUCAAGUCCUGGAAGGCAAAGACAAGAUCCCCAGAGCAAGCUGGCUAGCUAGGCUAGACUUACAGGCAAACUCUGGGUUUGACUGAGAGGCCCUGCCUCAAUGAAUACUAUAGGAUAGGGAUUAUGAACGAUUCUUGAUGAUAACCUUGGGUGCACACGUGCACACACACACAGACGCAUGCACGUACACACAUAUGCACAAGGACAAACAAACAUGCAUUCAUAUCACAUACAUGAAAAUAUGGGGAUGGUUCUAACUUUGCUUUUAAAAAGUGCAGACAAGUUGAACAGGACCACCAAUUAAUUAUCAGAAAUCACUGUGAGAAUCUCUAUUAGGAUAACUACUGUUGAGAACCCAGAAACAACACAGAAAGUAACAAGCAUUGGUAAACAUGGAGAAAAAUUAGAAGAGUUGUUCACUGCUUAUGGAAUAUAAAAGGGUAUGGCCAUGAUGGGAAACAGCAUGAUAUUUCUGUAAAAAUAAAAUAAAGUAAAAUUGUCAGUAA